rnacentral:rRNA from 1 species
GGAUUAGAUACCCGGGUAGUCCACGCCGUAAACGAUGAUAACUAGCUGUCCGGGCACAUGGUGCUUGGGUGGCGCAGCUAACGCAUUAAGUUAUCCGCCUGGGGAGUACGGUCGCAAGAUUAAAACUCAAAGGAAUUGACGGGGGCCUGCACAAGCGGUGGAGCAUGUGGUUUAAUUCGAAGCAACGCGCAGAACCUUACCAGCUUUUGACAUCCCGAUCGCGAUUAGCAGAGAUGCUUUUCUUCAGUUCGGCUGGAUCGGUGACAGGUGCUGCAUGGCUGUCGUCAGCUCGUGUCGUGAGAUGCUGGGUUAAGUCCCGCAACGAGCGCAACCCUCGUCCUUAGUUGCCAUCAUUUAGUUGGGCACUCUAAGGAAACUG